AGGGUUUGGNUCAUGGGCUCAGGACGAACGCUGGCGGCGUGCCUAAUACAUGCAAGUCGAGCGAGGGUCUUCGGACCCUAGCGGCGGACGGGUGAGUAACACGNAGGCAACCUGCCCGUAAGACCGGGAUAACAUAGGGAAAUUAUGCUAUAAUACCGGAUAGGGCGUUCUCCCGCAUGGGAGGAUGCGGAAAGGUGGCGCAAGCUACCACUUACGGAUGGGCCUGCGGCACAUUAGCUAGUUGGUGGGGUAACGGCCUACCAAGGCGACGAUGCGUAGCCGACCUGAGAGGGUGACCGGCCACACUGGGACUGAGACACGGNCCAGACUCCUACGGGAGGCAGCAGUAGGGAAUUUUCCACAAUGGGCGAAAGCCUGAUGGAGCAACGCCGCGUGAACGAUGAAGGCCUUCGGGUUGUAAAGUUCUGUUGUUAGGGACGAACAAGUGCCGUUCGAAUAGGGCGGCACCCUGACGGUANCUAACGAGGAAGCCACGGCUAACUACGUGCCAGCAGCCGCGGUAAUACGUAGGUGGCAAGCGUGUUCNGAAU
rnacentral:rRNA from 1 species